AUUGAACGCUGGCGGCAGGCCUAACACAUGCAAGUCGAGCGGAGCGGCGGACGGGUGAGUAAUGCCUAGGAAUCUGCCUGGUAGUGGGGGAUAACGUCCGGAAACGGGCGCUAAUACCGCAUACUAUCAGAUGAGCCUAGGUCGGAUUAGCUAGUUGGUGGGGUAAAGGCCUACCAAGGCGACGAUCCGUAACUGGUCGGAGAGGAUGAUCAGUCACACUGUAACUGAGACACGGUCCAGACUCCUACGAGGGGCAGCAGUGGGGAAUAUUGGACAAUUGGCGAGAGCCUGUUCGAGCCAGGCCGGGUGUGUGAAGAAGGUCUUCGGAUUGGAAAGCACAUUAAGUUGUUAGGCUUUACCAACAGAAUAGGCACCGGCUAACUUCGUGCCAGCAGCCGCGGUAAUUC
rnacentral:rRNA from 1 species